UGCCCUGAUGCCAUCACUCUUAUAUAUAUAUAGAUUUGAAGACUCUACCUCUAUGGCUUUAAUAUGGCGCAAUUUAGAGCCAUAACCCUCAACACUUCACAGAUAGAAACUGAAGCCUUGGCUAAGCAAUAUCAGAAUGUUGUUGGACUGAAAAUCCCAGCAGCUCUUGCCAGUGGUGAGAAGUGAUAAGCAGUCUAGUCCAACCACAUCUAGUGGCCAGCCACUUCUAGAAUUUCUUUUUCGUAAAAAAAUCAUUUUAUUCUAAUCCAACAAACAUUAACAAGCAAAAUAAGAACACAAAAUAAAUUGUUGGGUAACAAUAAAGUAGAGCUAGACACAUUACAUCUUUUUGGAAUCUUAUUAAACUGUCUCAAGAACUCUCUCACCAAAGAUAGUCAUGUCAUUUCUAUACUUUCAUUUGCAAUAUAUACUGAAGAUGUUCUGAAAAAGAAGCGGCACCAGUCUUAAAACCCCUUCUGACUCUUGAACAAGCAAUAGUCUGUCUGCAACCUGUGAUACAAGCAGGGAUCAAUCCUCCAAGUGUGAGCUAUGUUUAGAUACCAACCAGAAGGUUGGUGUCUAUUUCAGUGCAGACAUCUUCCCCACUCAGCAGUUCAGUCUGUUUAUCCAGCAUAUGGCAACUUCUCUGCCAGAGACGGUUCAAAGAGAAAACCAGGGACAUCAGUCUAACAACUGAGAAACCUAAACUGCCUUGCAUGAAUACUAGUGGAUAUUUACCACAAAGGAGAAGAUUGACUCAGGUGCUUGGGUGGAUGAAGGACUCCAGAAAGAAAGCAGGUUUCUAGGAAAGACAGAAGAGGAGAAUGGAAGGAUGGAGGAAGCACUGGAUGAGCCAAUGGUCGGACUUGAAGACAUCACUGAGGAAAAGAUGGAAACAGAAACAUCCAAGCAACAAGUGGAAAAUCCUGCAAGAUGAUAUGAAAUAUUUCCAAAUGUGGUGUUUUGAAGGAGGAAACAAUGAAAUAGUGCAAAACAGGCAUGAUCUCCAGUUACUUCCAGGUUGCAAUUUUUUUUACUUUUACUGUCAUGGAGGCAAAAAGGCAAAUAUUGCUCUUCCUACAAGUGUCCACCUCUGUUGCAAAAACAACAAGAAAAAUAUGACUGUCCCAUUGGCAGUUGAACACAAAAGGAAAGAAGCCAUUUCAACACAACAUGAAAUGUGUAGGAUGGCAGGAAGAGACCAUGAGUUAUUGCUUUGAGAGAGUUAUGUCCACUUACCUGUAU